UACGUAGGGGGCAAGCGUUGUCCGGAUUUAUUGGGCGUAAAGAGCGUGUAGGCGGCCAGACAGGUCCGUUGUGAAAACUAGAGGCUUAACCUCUAGACGUCGAUGGAAACCGUUUGGCUAGAGUCCGGAAGGGGAGAAUGGAAUUCCUGGUGUAGCGGUGAAAUGCGCAGAUAUCAGGAAGAACACCCGUGGCUAAGGCGGUUCUCUAGUACGGUACUGACGCUGAGACGCGAAAGCGUGGGGAGCGAACAGG
rnacentral:rRNA from 1 species